AGAGGCAACCAUAUCAUCCUGAAAAACAGCUGGCUGCCCACUGAAGCUCAGCAGGUGUGAGCCUGGUCAGUACCUGGAUGGGAGACCUCCUGGGAAAAACUUAGGUUUGUGCUGGAA
rnacentral:rRNA from 1 species